GGCCCUAUCGUUCAGCGGUUAGGACAACGCCCUCUCACGGCGUAGACAGGAGUUCGAUUCUCCUUAGGGCUACCA
rnacentral:tRNA from 1 species